rnacentral:rRNA from 1 species
AUUGAACGCUGGCGGCAGGCUUAACACAUGCAAGUCGAGCGGGGUGAUGGUGCUUGCACUAUCACUUAGCGGCGGACGGGUGAGUAAUGCUUAGGAAUCUGCCUAUUGGUGGGGGACAACAUCUCGAAAGGGAUGCUAAUACCGCAUACGUCCUACGAGAGAAAGCAGGGGAUCACUUGUGACCUUGCGCUAAUAGAUGAGACUAAGUCGGAUUAGCUAGUUGGUGGGGUAAAGGCCUACCAAGGCGACGAUCUGUAGCGGGUCUGAGAGGAUGAUCCGCCACACUGGGACUGAGACACGGCCCAGACUCCUACGGGAGGCAGCAGUGGGGAAUAUUGGACAAUGGGGGGAACCCUGAUCCAGCCAUGCCGCGUGUGUGAAGAAGGCCUUAUGGUUGUAAAGCACUUUAAGCGAGGAGGAGGCUCUUUUGGUUAAUACCCAAGAUGAGUGGACGUUACUCGCAGAAUAAGCACCGGCUAACUCUGUGCCAGCCGCCGCGGUAA